rnacentral:lncRNA from 1 species
UCAGGCAUACCGCUUGGAUUCCUUGUGCAUGGGUUUCACACCCACAACUCGUUCCAGAAGCAGCAAAAGCUGCUGGGUUUUUCGCGCCUGGGCCCAUCGUCAGUAGCCUUGCGCUACUGGGCAUUGCUCCGCUGCCACGUGCGGCCUUUUUGGUUGUUGUUCAGCCCGUGUCCAAAAAUGGCCUCUUUUUUUUCUCCUCUGCAGCCCGCCAAGGCUGCCUUUCUCCUUCUUGGAUUUUUAAGCCCAUUCCUCUACAUUAGGACUAGCAGUCCGCAGGAAAAAGGAAAAAAUAUUCCAGUAGUCCACUGGGUUUUUUUUACAACCCAAGCCCUUAUUGGGCUUCUCUUUUGUCAAGGCCCACAACCCAAUUUGCUGGGUUGUUACUCAUUUACCCCAUGCCUAAUUCGAGCCUAAUUUUUUCUAUGGCCUCCGGCCAACAUCCAAUAAUAAAUAGACCUAGUCAAAUUUUAUUUUCUUUGUUUCUACAAUCGACCCCAAAUAGUCACGAUCUAUUGAAUUAAUUAAAACUGACUACCAUUCCAUUAAUCUGACAAUUAAUUCAAAAUUAUUGGCCUGAAGUCCACUUUUGGACAUUAACGAUUCAAUAAUUUAUUUCUCUUCUUUGAACUGUUGACUCACUUUUGUAGUCCCGAAACCCUCACACUUGAGUUCCUGAAGCAACUCAAAUCCACUACACUUAAAUUAGCAUAUUGCAUUUUGUGUUCUUGAAAGGAGCAUAUUUAUGCGACUUAGU